rnacentral:tRNA from 1 species
GGUGUUGUGGUCCAGUGGUUAAGGCUUCGGGCUGUGAACCACAAGGUACGGGGUUCAAAUCCCUGCCACAACA